ACUAGCCCCAACCAGCUCUGCUGAACAUGUUACAUUACAGCCACCAUCACAUAAUCCUGAUCUGACCUUAUUUUACAUCCUGCGUGUCGUCCUGUUUCUGCUGUGGAUCCUGCCGUUUGUCCUUGUGAUGAUUCUUAAAAGAAAAUUGAAGCAACAAGAUAUCCAGAUGAUUGUACUGAACACUUCUGAUGCUUCUAAGAACCCGAGGAUCAAUGAUAUUUGUGAAAAUCCAGAAGACAGCUCAACCUUUGCAUCAAAGCAUCAGGAGCAACGAUGAAGCUGCAGAAUCUCAACAUGUGAACCAAAGUCUCACCACAAAUAAAAAUAUUUAUUCUGAUUGUCAGAAUGCAAAAUGAUGAAAUGCACUGCAGAGGAAAUUAUUAUAUAUAUUUCAAGCUAAUUUUAAGAUGUAGAUGCUAAUUGUUAAAUAUUUUAAAGAUGCACCUUGUUUUAUUACAUUAACUUUCUCCACACAUUAAUAAAUAAGAGCUUUUGAAGAACCAGCCUUUGUUUCUUUUUAUAUAAAGACUAAAUCAUGAAGGUGAUAAGGUUUUCUGUAGAGUAAAACACUUUUUAUAUCAGCAGUAUUUUCAUCCUCUUAAAUUGUUCUAGUAAUCUUUUUUUAUGUUUCUAUAUUUGUCAUUUGUCAGUUUGACUUUAAAAUAAAUUUUAAUUCUACCUUCA